rnacentral:snRNA from 1 species
GGAUGUGAGGGCGAUCUGGCUGCGACAUCUGUCACCCCAUUGAUUGCCAGGGUUGAUUCGGCUGAUCUGGCUGGCUAGGCGGGUGUCCCCUUCCUCCCUCACCGCUCCAUGUGCGUCCCUCCCGAAGCUGCGCGCUCGGUCGAAGAGAACGGCCUUCCCCGAAUAGAGACGGACCGGUCUUCGGUCGAGGGUAUACGAGUAGCUGCACUCCCCUGCUAGAACAUCCAAACAAGCUCUCAAGCCCCUGGUCCUACAAGUGGUCCUACAGGGCUGCAGGUGUCUCUCUCCCU